CCUACGGGAGGCAGCAGUGGGGAAUAUUGCACAAUGGGGGAAACUCUGAAGCAGCGAUGCCGCGUGAGUGAAGACGUCUCUCUGUAUGGAAAGCUCCAUCUGCAGGGGAGUAAACGACGGUACGUGAUUCAGUCUCCCCGGCUAACUCCGUUAAAGCAGCGGCGGCAAUACGUCGGGGGCAAGCGUUAUCCGGAUUUACUGGGUGUAAGGGGGGCGUAGUCGGAUGGACAAGUCCGUGGUGAAAUGCCGGGGUUUAACGCCGGAACUGCUGUUGAAACUGUGCGGCUAGAGAGCAGGUGAGGUAAGUGGAAUGCAUGGUGUAGCGGUGAAAUGCGUAGAGAUCAGGCAGAACACCGAUGGCGAAGGCAGCUUACUAAGCUGUAACUGACGUUGAGGCACGAAAGCGUGGGGAGCAAACAGGAUUAGAUACCCUUGUAGUC
rnacentral:rRNA from 1 species